rnacentral:rRNA from 1 species
GACGAACGCUGGCGGCGUGCCUAAUACAUGCAAGUCGAACGCAGUGGGGACGGGUGAGUAACCCGUGGGUAACCUCCCAUCAGAGGGGAUAACACUUGUAACCAGGUGCUAAACCGAUCCUGAUGGAUGGAACCGCGGUGCAUUAGCUAGUUGUUGAGGUAACGGCUCACCAAGGCCACGAUGCAUAGCCUACCUGAGAGGGUGAGCUGCCACACGGGGACUGAGACACGGCCUAGACUCCUACGGGAGGCAGCAGUAGGGAAUCUUCGGCAAUGGACGAAAGGCUGACCUAGCAACGCCGCGUGAGUGAAGAAGGCUUUCGGAUCGUAAAACUCUGUUGUUAGAGAAGCGGUAUAUAACCAGAAAGCCACGGCGAACUCCGUGCCAGCAGCCGCGGUAAUAC